AGCUUGCUGGUGGAUUAGUGGCGAACGGGUGAGUAACACGUGAGUAACCUGCCCUUAACUCUGGGAUAAGCCUGGGAAACUGGGUCUAAUACCGGAUAUGACUCCUCAUCGCAUGGUGGGGGGUGGAAAGCUUUAUUGUGGUUUUGGAUGGACUCGCGGCCUAUCAGCUUGUUGGUGAGGUAAUGGCUCACCAAGGCGACGACGGGUAGCCGGCCUGAGAGGGUGACCGGCCACACUGGGACUGAGACACGGCCCAGACUCCUACGGGAGGCAGCAGUGGGGAAUAUUGCACAAUGGGCGAAAGCCUGAUGCAGCGACGCCGCGUGAGGGAUGACGGCCUUCGGGUUGUAAACCUCUUUCAGUAGGGAAGAAGCGAAAGUGACGGUACCUGCAGAAGAAGCGCCGGCUAACUACGUGCCAGCAGCCGCGGUAAUACGUAGGGCGCAAGCGUUAUCCGGAAUUAUUGGGCGUAAAGAGCUCGUAGGCGGUUUGUCGCGUCUGCCGUGAAAGUCCGGGGCUCAACUCCGGAUCUGCGGUGGGUACGGGCAGACUAGAGUGAUGUAGGGGAGACUGGAAUUCCUGGUGUAGCGGUGAAAUGCGCAGAUAUCAGGAGGAACACCGAUGGCGAAGGCAGGUCUCUGGGCAUUAACUGACGCUGAGGAGCGAAAGCAUGGGGAGCGAACAGGAUUAGAUACCCUGGUAGUCCAUGCCGUAAACGUUGGGCACUAGGUGUGGGGGACAUUCCACGUUUUCCGCGCCGUAGCUAACGCAUUAAGUGCCCCGCCUGGGGAGUACGGCCGCAAGGCUAAAACUCAAAGGAAUUGACGGGGGCCCGCACAAGCGGCGGAGCAUGCGGAUUAAUUCGAUGCAACGCGAAGAACCUUACCAAGGCUUGACAUGAACCGGAAAUACCUGGAAACAGGUGCCCCGCUUGCGGUCGGUUUACAGGUGGUGCAUGGUUGUCGUCAGCUCGUGUCGUGAGAUGUUGGGUUAAGUCCCGCAACGAGCGCAACCCUCGUUCUAUGUUGCCAGCGCGUUAUGGCGGGGACUCAUAGGAGACUGCCGGGGUCAACUCGGAGGAAGGUGGGGACGACGUCAAAUCAUCAUGCCCCUUAUGUCUUGGGCUUCACGCAUGCUACAAUGGCCGGUACAAAGGGUUGCGAUACUGUGAGGUGGAGCUAAUCCCAAAAAGCCGGUCUCAGUUCGGAUUGGGGUCUGCAACUCGACCCCAUGAAGUCGGAGUCGCUAGUAAUCGCAGAUCAGCAACGCUGCGGUGAAUACGUUCCCGGGCCU
rnacentral:rRNA from 1 species